GCGGGUAUGGUUCAGUGGUAGAACGUGGCCUUCCCAAGGCUGAGAUAGGAGUUCGAUUCUCCUUACCCGCU
rnacentral:tRNA from 1 species